rnacentral:rRNA from 1 species
GAUGAACGCUGGCGGCGUGCCUAAUACAUGCAAGUCGAGCGAACGGACGAGAAGCUUGCUUCUCUGAUGUUAGCGGCGGACGGGUGAGUAACACGUGGAUAACCUACCUAUAAGACUGGGAUAACUUCGGGAAACCGGAGCUAAUACCGGAUAAUAUUUUGAACCGCAUGGUUCAAAAGUGAAAGACGGUCUUGCUGUCACUUAUAGAUGGAUCCGCGCUGCAUUAGCUAGUUGUAAGGUAACGGCUUACCAAGGCAACGAUGCAUAGCCGACCUGAGAGGGUGAUCGGCCACACUGGAACUGAGACACGGUCCAGACUCCUACGGGAGGCAGCAGUAGGGAAUCUUCCGCAAUGAGCGAAAGCCUGACGGAGCAACGCCGCGUGAGUGAUGAAGGUCUUCGGAUCGUAAAACUCUGUUAUUAGGGAAGAACAUAUGUGUAAGUAACUGUGCACAUCUUGACGGUACCUAAUCAGAAAGCCACGGCUAACUACGUG